AGAGUUUGAUCCUGGCUCAGGACGAACGCUGGCGGCGUGCUUAACACAUGCAAGUCGAACGAUGAUGCCCUGCUUGCAGGGUGGAUUAGUGGCGAACGGGUGAGUAACACGUGGGUGAUCUACCCUGCACUUCGGGAUAAGCCUGGGAAACUGGGUCUAAUACCGGAUAUGACCCUCCUUUAGUGUGGGGGGGUGGAAAGCUUUUGCGGUGUGGGAUGAGCCUGCGGCCUAUCAGCUUGUUGGUGGGGUAAUGGCCUACCAAGGCGUCGACGGGUAGCCGGCCUGAGAGGGUGAUCGGCCACAUUGGGACUGAGACACGGCCCAGACUCCUACGGGAGGCAGCAGUGGGGAAUAUUGCACAAUGGGCGAAAGCCUGAUGCAGCGACGCCGCGUGGGGGAUGAAGGCCUUCGGGUUGUAAACUCCUUUCGCUAGGGACGAAGAUGUAUUUUGACGGUACCUGGAGAAGAAGCACCGGCUAACUACGUGCCAGCAGCCGCGGUAA
rnacentral:rRNA from 1 species